AGCUGACGCGUCUGACCGUGUGCAGCUGGCGUCUAUGUGGGCAGACGGUGAUUUCAUGUCGUGGAUUUCGAAGAUGUUCGAGCCAUAUAGAUGAACGCCGGAAUGAAAGGACUCGGAAAGUGUCUCUCUGUGCAAGCUUGAAAUCAUUUACCGUCUAAUGCGCUGCAGUGUGCUUCGACGGCGGAACUUCAACUUGGCCGGACCAUAGGCUACAGUUGCGUCGUUAGCAGGCAGGACACGAGAAAAUUAUACAGGCAUGAAUAGCACAUCAGUUGGCACUUCACGAUCUUGCACAGAUGCAACGUCUAAGCGCUUACGUGUACAGAUAAGCAGAGGACCCCGCACAACCACCAGCCAAGAUAAACACGAGGGCUGUAGCAAGUUCAAGUCAGCACCUACACUCUUAAAAAUGAACUUCACCGCAUAGCACGCUCGUAGCCAACCAUCAUCUCGAAUGAUAUCGUUAUCCAUAUGAUAUCGUUCAAAACGGGAGGCGUACGCUUUUUCUGUGACAAUUAUGACCAGCAUAAGCCUCACAAAAAAGGCGUACGCCUCCAGUUUCCAUCAAAUCAGGGCAGAUAACGAUAUCAUUUGAGAUGAUGGUUGGCUAUGCCAUAUGUGCUUUGGGUAAUAAAGUGAUUCUAUUCCCCACUUUCCUGCGAAAUUAUUUGUGGGAUGCCUAAAAGCACAUUCAAAUUGUUUAAGGGAAUAUACUAAAAUAAAUGUAAAAUGUC